GACGAACGCUGGCGGCGUGCUUAACACAUGCAAGUCGAACGGAAAGGCCCUGCUUUUGUGGGGUGCUCGAGUGGCGAACGGGUGAGUAACACGUGAGUAACCUGCCCUUGACUUUGGGAUAACUUCAGGAAACUGGGUCUCUUACCGCAUAGGAUCUCCUGCUGCAUGGUGGGGGUUGGAAAGUUUCGGCGGUUGGGGAUGGACUCGCGGCUUAUCAGCUUGUUGGUGGGGUAGUGGCUUACCAAGGCUUUGACGGGUAGCCGGCCUGAGAGGGUGACCGGCCACAUGGGGACUGAGAUACGGCCCAGACUCCUACGGGAGGCAGCAGUGGGGAAUAUUGCACAAUGGGCGGAAGCCUGAUGCAGCAACGCCGCGUGCGGGAUGACGGCCUUCGGGUUGUAAACCGCUUUCGCCUGUGACGAAGCGUGAGUGACGGUAAUGGGUAAAGAAGCACCGGCUAACUACGUG
rnacentral:rRNA from 1 species